rnacentral:rRNA from 1 species
AAAGGCGCGCGAUACAGGGUGACAGCCCCGUACACAAAAAUGCACAUACUGUGAGCUCGAUGAGUAGGGCGGGACACGUGGUAUCCUGUCUGAAUAUGGGGGGACCAUCCUCCAAGGCUAAAUACUCCUGACUGACCGAUAGUGAACCAGUACCGUGAGGGAAAGGCGAAAAGAACCCCGGCGAGGGGAGUGAAAAAGAACCUGAAACCGUGUACGUACAAGCAGUGGGAGCCUCUUAAUGGGGUGACUGCGUACCUUUUGUAUAAUGGGUCAGCGACUUAUAUUCUGUAGCAAGGUUAACCGAAUAGGGGAGCCGAAGGGAAACCGAGUCUUAACUGGGCGUUAAGUUGCAGGGUAUAGACCCGAAACCCGGUGAUCUAGCCAUGGGCAGGUUGAAGGUUGGGUAACACUAACUGGAGGACCGAACCGACUAAUGUUGAAAAAUUAGCGGAUGACUUGUGGCUGGGGGUGAAAGGCCAAUCAAACCGGGAGAUAGCUGGUUCUCCCCGAAAGCUAUUUAGGUAGCGCCUCGUGAAUUCAUCUCCGGGGGUAGAGCACUGUUUCGGCAAGGGGGUCAUCCCGACUUACCAACCCGAUGCAAACUGCGAAUACCGGAGAAUGUUAUCACGGGAGACACACGGCGGGUGCUAACGUCCGUCGUGAAGAGGGAAACAACCCAGACCGCCAGCUAAGGUCCCAAAGUCAUGGUUAAGUGGGAAACGAUGUGGGAAGGCCCAGACAGCCAGGAUGUUGGCUUAGAAGCAGCCAUCAUUUAAAGAAAGCGUAAUAGCUCACUGGUCGAGUCGGCCUGCGCGGAAGAUGUAACGGGGCUAAACCAUGCACCGAAGCUGCGGCAGCGACACUAUGUGUUGUUGGGUAGGGGAGCG